AGGAGGAACAACCCCAGUGGUUGCUGCAGAUCUGGAAACCUAGAUUCAGUUCCCACAGGAACUACCCUGUCUGCAGGGCCUGGAGGCUCCGGGCGGGG
rnacentral:pre_miRNA from 1 species